CUUGGGGAAGGACCAUUA
rnacentral:rRNA from 1 species